CACCUUGUUAGUCUGUUUGUUAUACAGCUGGAGAGAGAGAGAGAGAGAGUUUGAGAAGAGAGAAAGAAGAGAAAGAGAGGAAAGAGAGAGAUUGUGAGGAGAGAGAAGAGAAAGAGAGACAGAGAGCAGGCUUGGUGUAAACUUUUCACUGCAUUCUGUGUUAUUCACCCAGGAAGAUCAGGUGGUGUAGCAGAAGUGAUCAUGGCUGCAGUGUGCAAACACCUGUGGGUGGCGCUCUUGCUUUGUCUUAUUGGCCAAACAGCAGCAUUUGGCUGUUCAAAAAGAAUUUAAAACUCAGAACAAUGGGGAAGAAAGCUUUGGAGACCCACAUGCAGUGUGAAAAACACAAAGCACAAUUCAUGGGACAGCUCAGGAUUUGCUUCACCAUAUCAAAGUAAGUACCAGCCAAUCACAAAUUAUUUUUAUGUAUCGUAGCAAGCAAUAAUUAUUCGUAUCAGAUAUGGAGUUUAUAUAUAAAUAUAUAAAAUACACACUUCAUAUAUAGAGAGCUAUAUAACAUUUUUCAUUUUGGUUGUUUCA